CAGAUUUGCUUCAUCCAGUGUACCUGCCCUUCACUUUGCAAGUAUGCAUCAUCCCAGCCUACAAAGUAACAAAGAAGUUCUAGUGACUUCCGUGAAAGCAUCCAUUGCCUUUGUGGCUUUCCAUUUUUUGUGAAUUCUAUAGCUUGAGGUGUUAACUGUUCAUUUUGUUUAGCUUCUGCUGGCUCCAAAGAAGAACUCUGUUACCUGCAGCCUCUCCUGGGUUUGAGUGGAGAUGGUGUGUAGAUCGGCGGGGGUUUCUUGAUGGAGCUACUGAAGUUACCAUUUACAGAUGCCUCCCAGCAGCCUUAAUGACUGUUGCCAAGAAAAUGCUCAGCCAUCCCCCAAUAGCAGCCACAGGGCAAAGCCAGAAAGAAAUCACCUCCAAAGGACCAAGAAAUGGCAAAAUAAUGAAGAAGAGGAAGAGACAGAAGGAGGAAAACGAAGGGGAAGAGGGAAAGAAGCCGGGGGAGGGGGAAUUCUUCUGAGUCCCCUCUGUGCUUGUGACCUUUUAAACCACAGACUUAGCACCACGAUGCUCUUUCAAUUUAAUUCAAUGAGAUGUGGUUGCUACCAAAAAGGACCCAGUAUAGAAAGUGCUAUACUGCCCAAGAUGGCAACUACAUGUAAGAAUCAGUUCUCCAUACUCUUUUCUUUUAUUCUUGUCNUUACCAAAAAGGACCCAGUAUAGAAAGUGCUAUACUGCCCAAUGGCAACUACAUGUAAGAAUCAGUUCUCCAUACUCUUUUCUUUUAUUCUUGUCCUUUUUUCUUUCCUUUCUUAAAGCAGAUCUCUCUCAAGGAGUGGGGGAGGGGGCAAAUGCUAGAUGGGAGGAGAAGAAGAAGAAGGAAAAAAAGAAGCCUGACUGCAGCUUAGCUUUGUGAAUUCAAGAAGUGUGUGUUUGAAAAAUGAAGGUGCAUAAGUUAGCGUAGCUCCAGGGCACCAGCUUCCCUAGUGUUAGCAUAGCUGACACACUGACAGUUUAUAUGGAAUUUAUGUGCCUAUUUCCUCUGCUUUUUAUGGGAAAACAUGUUGUUACCUUACAGCUGCCCACAUCACAUGCCGCCAAUCCGCCUCUGAGCCAUAGAGCACCUUUCUCAAGGAAACGUACAUACAUCAAGGGCUUAUGUAUUUUUUACAAUGUUGUAAGGGGAAAAUAAUAAAAUAUGGGUUAUGGUGUACA
rnacentral:lncRNA from 1 species